AUGGCGGCCAUCGUGGUCUUGUUGGAGCCUCCCUUGCUGUGGAAAGUCACAGGCUUCAGGGAGUGCCGGCACAGCCUGAACAGGUGCCACCUACACUGGAAGAAAAAAAUAUUAUUUGAAUUAUAUAAAGUGAACCAUGCUACAAUGGAAAAGAACCAUGCGAUGAAAAAAGAAAGGCACAAAGAGCUGCUGGAUGAUGAUUUCGAUGAUUAUGACAGCGACCAUUAUUAUGAAAGUGAGAGCAAUGUCCAAAGCCAGCAUGAUGAUGAGUGCAGCAGAAGCAAUGGCGAAAGCCUGCCGGAUGGUGAAUCCACCUCAAAUGCAAAGCCUGAUUUGAUUGUGUCUGAACCUCCUGAAAAAAUCGAACAAGGACCAUUACAGAAGCCUGAUUUGGUCGAGUCCGCACCUACAAAGAAACUUGAUUUGAUUGAAUCCAGUACUCCUAGGAAGGCUGAUUUGGUUCAGCCUGGGCCUGCAGGGGAGCUUCAUUUGGUUGAGUCCAGACCUUCUAGGAAUUCUCAACUGAUUGAGCCUGGACCUGCAAGGAAGCUUGAUUUUAAUCAACCCUGA
rnacentral:rRNA from 1 species